UACGUAGGGGGCGAGCGUUGUCCGGAAUCAUUGGGCGUAAAGAGCGUGUAGGCGGCUUGGCAAGUCUGACGUGAAAGCCCGCGGCUCAACCGCGGAUUGUCGUUGGAAACUGCCUCGCUAGAGUCCGGAAGAGGAGAGCGGAAUUCCUGGUGUAGCGGUGGAAUGCGGCAGAUAUCAGGAAGAACACCCGUGGCGAAGGCGGCUCUCUGGGACGGUACUGACGCUGAGACGCGAAGCGUGGGAGCGAACAGGAUAGAUACCGGAGUAGUCAG
rnacentral:rRNA from 1 species